AUGGUUGAUACCAAGGCAAAUGCCAGUGGAAUAAAUGAGUCAUUCAAAGUCGAUGGUGUCACCUGCGCUUCUCAUAUCGGUGCUGACAGUGUUGAAGGUAUUUCAUCGUCAGAUGUUAACAAUUUGAUCAUGCAUUCUUGCCGUGACAUCAAUGUCGAGCAUGUUGCACCCAAUUCCCCACUGCCGUGCAACAUGGGUGUGCCUCCCAAUGUUGAACCAUGUAUAGCUUCCGGUGGAGACAAUAUUUCGUGCAGGCUGACUCCAGCGUGGUGUGAUACGCAAUCGCAGUCAGUCAUGGGCAAUGAGAUUGUUACACAGGAUUAUAUGGUCUCACGGCAGUUAAGGAAUGAGGAGAUAAGGCAGGCAGAGAAGCGGAAUUUUUUCCAGAGAAAGUUGAUGCUCAUGAGAGGAAGAAGCGGUUGA
rnacentral:rRNA from 1 species